UACGGAGGGUGCAAGCGUUGCUCGGAAUUAUUGGGCGUAAAGGGUAGGUAGGUGGUCUCAUUUGUCUAGGGUGAAAGCCUUGAGCUUAACUCAAGAAGUGCCCUAGAAACGGUGAGACUGGAGUCCUGGAGAGGGUCGUGGAAUUCCCGGUGUAGCGGUGAAAUGCGUAGAGAUCGGGAGGAACACCAGAGGCGAAGGCGGCGACCUGGACAGGUACUGACACU
rnacentral:rRNA from 1 species